CCUUGCGUGAGGCUCAUUGUUGUUGGGCCGGUUGAUUUAUGGGCCUUUUGUUUCUUCUCGGCGGCGCGUGGCUCUCCCGGCGCCGGCGCGCCGCCGCCGGCGGCCACUCUCCUCCCGCUCGCCGCAGCUGCUCUCAGAUCUCCCCCUUACUGGGACUCGCUCCGUUGCUGCCUCCUCCCCAUCCAAAUCGUGGAGAUCUUUCUUCGGGUAUCAGGAUCUUCCUUUGGGAAAUCGACUGGCUCGCGACGGCGACGCGAUCGGGGUCGGGUCUCCGGUGGCUGGCUGGUCGCGGCCCACGGUUGGAUGGAUUGACGGAGGGGAGGAGGGGGGAAUCGGUGGUUCAGAUCAAGCAAGCAAGCGAAGCAAGUUUCUUUCGGGCACCGGAUGCGAACUCCGGAGUUCAGAUCAGAUCAGAAUUGUGCGAGACGUUGAUGAAUGAAUGUAAGCAAGAGCCUCUGCUGAUUGUGUAGCAAUAUUCAGUCGAAGAUCCAGUGGGAUUGGUGUUCGGUGAUCAUUGCCAUGAAGGAACUCAGAGAGGGUUCCGUUGGAAACGAACUCAUACACCAACAUCGGUACAUCUACCUCCAAACAGCAACCAAGUAACCUCACAAUGUUCCUAUGAUUAAUUUGUGACAAUAUUAUUAUCUCAUUGACGAAUUCUUCUCGGCAGUCAUCGUCAAUUACUUUGGACUUCUUUAUGGCAACUUCUUUGUCACCAUCCAAAGUUCCUCUGUAGACCAUUCCAUGACCACCACAUCCUAGAACUCGAUCAUCGCUAUAGUUCUCUGUUGCUUUCUUGAUUUCCUUCUCUGUAAGUAUAAGAAUGGUGUCAACUUGUCUUGACCUCAUCUCAUCAAAUAGUCUAAGACCUCCAUUUUGUUUGAAAUACUCCUCCUUUUCUUUCCUAUAUUUUCUUCUUUGUAAUUUCAUGACCAGCAAGCAUAUCAAAGCCAUCAGCACAACUGCGGAAACACUGAGACCUGCAGAAUGAUUUUUCAAGAUGAAUCAACUCAUCGUAAACCUGAAAAAGCUCAUUAGUUUCACCCAAAGGUAUACUCUCUGAGUCUCAUUAAGUCCUUACCUGCUAUCACUCGUUCAACUUGGUUAAGCACAGUUUGACAUCCAUAGUUUGUUCCAUCUGGCCUUUUACCUACCCCGCAUUUGCACAAAUAGUUUCCUGGUAUGUUCUGGCACAUCCCAUGUCUGCAGGGAUAUAGCUCUUUAUACUUGGGAUCCUCCUUACGCAACUUGCACUCAUCUAUGUCUGAAUAGAAUUGAAACAGACAAGUAUGUAUUUGGGAUAAUACAAUCAAAGCUUGAACUAUUUUGGCUUGUUACGGAAGCUGAAAAAAAGGUACUCCCUCCGUCCCAAAAUAUAACAACUUUUAGCACUUAGGAUUUGUUACAAAAUAUAGCAACUUCUUCACCAACAUUCCAUUCCCAACCAAUCACAACCCUCCACCAUUCACUUUUCCCACCUACCUCCACUUUUCAACCAAUUACAACCUCUUCCUAUUUAAUUCUACACACUUUCUUAAUAACCGUGUCUAACUCUAAAACUACUUAUAUUCUGGGAUGGAGGGAGUAACAAAAAGAAUAAAUAUUACGCAGCAGCAUUAAAACUGGCUAUAAUUAUGUUCUGGUUAUGUUGUUAUUCCUGGAGUUGUUUAUCUUGGUCUCCAAAUAUAAUCUAGAGAAAGUUUAUAUGUAUGUUACCUUGACAGCCUUUGGGAAGAUAAGGAUUCCCUUCAUAUCCUUCAGAGCAUUUGCACAGGUACCCUUGGCUAUUACUUGCUUGCACACACUUGCUGUUUGAACUGACACAGGCAUAGUCUUUGGGCACCUUCUUCCCCUCUGGGCAGGAGCCAUUCCUGAUGGCCCAGUCAUGGAUGACAGGAACACCUCUGUUGGCCCUCCCAUUGACAAACCUGAGGUGCCCAACGAGGUCUUGCUGCCUGAAGCUGUACCAUCCGGCCUCCACAAGCAUGGCGUAGAAGCAUGGGUUGAAUUCCCACACCGCGCUCUGGUUCAUCACCAAGAUCGCUGCGAAGUCCUUCAGGUCUGGGAUGAUGGUGGUCUCGCAGCAGCCCAUCCCAGUGCAGGGAGCACCGUUGGAUGUGCUGUUGAUGCUCUGGCAGUAGGAGUAGCAGCCAGCCACAUAUAGAUUAGAGUUGCUGUGCAUGUAGCCACCAAUGAUGCCGAGGGUAUGGCAUCCGAUGGCCAUGAAGCGGUUGCGGGUGGUGGAAGGGACGAACGGCGUACCCUCCAGGGUGAACCCUGUGGUAUGGUUCUCUGGUAUGGUGGUGUUUGAUGAGAAACAGAUGUAACUGACUGGACCGUAAACGCGCACCUCGCCACGCUCCAGGGAGAUGUCGAUGACCUCUGUUUCUGAUAGGAGGUCUCUAACCAUAGGCCGUGGUGGCUGGAAGGUGUCGUUGCAGGUGAUGGUGAAGUAGCUGCUCAGGCUGGUCGCAGAACAACCAGCGCCGAUGCCAAAUGGGUAAGGGAUGGAUACAUUUCCGCACUUGCCAGGGCAGCCUGGCAAUGAAAUUGCAGGUUCAGAGGUGGUGGUUGAUAUCGCCAUUGCAUGGAAGACGAUGAGCAUGAGGAGAACGGAUGCUUCUUGCAUGGUUGCGGAGUUGGAGGUUCUUCCCAGCUCCCUACACAUGAAGUUGUCUUGGAAGUUGGAACCACUGAUGCUCUAUGUAAGGCUGACUUAGUUAAGGGGAAAACGAUGAAAGCUUCAGCUAAUUAAUCAGCUCCUAAAUUCUGAGCACAUAUAAAGCCAACCCACACUAUGGUUACCGAAGUUUCGAAAUUUUAAGGUUCCGUUGUUUUUCCAAUGUAUACCACAUUAUUUGUAUUGGAUCAGAAAGAAAAUUUCAUUUCCACAAAUAGUCAUUGUCCGACUCCAAUUAACACCGAUGCCUGAAUAUCCCAGACAAUUAGUGUAUGAACUCUGAAAUUGGGUAUGAGUUCUGAGGUGUAUAUCUUCCUCUGAAUUUUUUCCUCCACUUGUAAUUUAUAGAUUAUACUUCUAACAGUGAUCAGGAGCACUGUAAAUUUCUUACUUUGGAUUACUA